rnacentral:rRNA from 1 species
UACGGAGGGUGCGAGCGUUGUCCGGAAUCACUGGGCGUAAAGGGCGCGUAGGUGGCCUGUGGAAGUCUGCGGUGAAAGCCCGGCGCUCAACGCCGGGUCGGCCGUGGAUACUCUCGGGCUCGAGCUUACUAGAGGCAGAUGGAAUUGCCGGGUGUAGGCGGAUCGGGAAUGCGUAGGAGGAAUCCGGAAGAAUCACCGGUGGCCGGAAAGGCAGG